UAGCUUGUUCAAUAUAUAAUUUU
rnacentral:snRNA from 1 species